rnacentral:rRNA from 1 species
GACGAACGCUGGCGGCGUGCUUAACACAUGCAAGUCGAACGGGGCGAAGUGAUAGCUUGCUAUUAUGGAGCCUAGUGGCAAACGGGUGAGUAACGCGUAGGCAACCUGCCCUUCAGAUGGGGACAACACCUCGAAAGGGGUGCUAAUACCGAAUGACGUUUCCUGGUCGCAUGACCUGGAAACCAAAGGCCGGGCAACCGGUCACUGAAGGAUGGGCCUGCGUCUGAUUAGCUAGUUGGUGGGGUAACGGCCCACCAAGGCGACGAUGGAUAGGGGUUCUGAGAGGAAGGUCCCCCACAUUGGUACUGAGACACGGUCCAGACUCCUACGGGAGCAGCAGUGAGGAAUAUUGGUCAAUGGUCGGAAGACUGAACCAGCCAAGUAGCGUGAAGGAUGAAGGUUCAUGGAUUGUAAACUUCUUUUAUACGGGAAUAAAACCNCCUACGUGUAGGUGCUUGAUGUACCGUAUGAAUAAGCAUCGGUUAAACUCCGUG